CCUUCCCAUCCCGAACAGGGAAGUUAAGCCCGUUUGCGCCGAUGGUACUGCCACACCAGGUGGGAGAGUAGGUAGCCGCCUUCC
rnacentral:rRNA from 1 species